ensembl:lncRNA
AAAUGUGUUGGAGCGGGUUGUGCAAAUGUAGCUGUGUGAACCAGAGAGAAUUAGCCCAGCGGGUCUUUUGUCCUCUGGCUUCUACGCAGCGGCCUGUGGGAAUCAAAUCGGAUUUCUGAAGAAGCUUAAUCGAAGAAAAAAAAACUACUUGACGACGGAAGAAACUGAAUCACUGCACACACAGCUGUAAACAGGUUGUAACAUUGCUCAAUGUGGGUGACUCAUGGAGACGCUUCAGCCGCCAACACCACUAAAACUCACACUGCUGGUGAAAGUGGUCCCACCCCAAACAUUCCAGUACCCCGCCUCAUUCAACUAUAUCCAUCCCUGCGAGCCGGUCCGGCUGCACAGCUCCUAAUGUUCACCAAGGAGGUAAGAAGGUGCGUUGGUGGGUCUGCUGGCUCUGGGUUCUGAUGCGGCCACAGCGGGCUGCUUGCAGAACCGGGUUUUGGUGGGCUGCUCGUUAUGCAAGAGGUUAGUCAUCAUGGUAUGAUUCACCCACUGUUUCACUCUUUUAUUCUCUGUACCCUUUCACCGCUCUUAAACUCUUCAGGGGAACACAAGGGGACAGAAUUAGACACCGGCAUGUUUUCCAUUUCACUGUACUGUCAGUGGUAAAAACAGGUAAAAACAGGAAGCCAGAUAAGUUAAUGAGAGUCCAUUUUUUAGGGAGGCCAUUAGCCUCAGAAGAUGGAAGCCAAAGUCACAAGGUGGAAACUGUCACAAUAUAGGUUAUCCAGGUCAACAGAUCAGAUCAGACUCAGUUAAAAAACGUUUUUUAAAUUACGUUUUUUUUUUGUUAAUUGAAGUAUUGGACAGUUCAGACAACUUAAACGAAAAUAAAAUCAACGUGCAAUUCAUGAUUCGUAUAUCAAACAGCUUGGGAUGUGCACUCUUUGGGCUGCUGGUCGUAUCUUAUCAGGAUGUCUCCUAAUGUCUCCUCAUGUCUUCUCAUGUCUCCUGAGGACUCCUAAUCUCUCCUCAGGACUCCCCAAUGACUUCUCAUCUCUCCUCAUGUCUCCUAAUGUCUCAUGUCUCCUGAUGUCUCCUGAGGACUCCUCAUGUCUCCU